UACGUAGGGGGCAAGCGUUGUCCGGAAUCAUUGGGCGUAAAGAGCGCGUAGGCGGCCCUGUAAGUCCGCUGUGAAAGUCAAGGGCUCAACCCUGGAAUGGCGGUGGAUACUGCAGGGCUAGAGUCCGGAAGAGGCGAGUGGAAUUCCUGGUGUAGCGGUGAAAUGCGCAGAUAUCAGGAGGAACACCGAUGGCGAAGGCAGCUCGCUGGGACGGUACUGACGCUGAGGCGCGAAAGCGUGGGGAGCAAACAGG
rnacentral:rRNA from 1 species